rnacentral:rRNA from 1 species
GGGGCGGUAAAGGGGUUUGAGCUGGCUCAGGAUUCGUACAGGGUGACCAGGAACCAGGGGUUGGGUCUGGUGAAUGUGCUUAGGAAUCUGCCUAUUAGUGGGGGACAACAUUCCGAAAGGAAUGCUAAUACCGCAUACGUCCUACGGGAGAAAGCAGGGGAUCUUCGGACCUUGCGCUAAUAGAUGAGCCUAAGUCGGAUUAGCUAGUUGGUGGGGUAAAGGCCUACCAAGGCGACGAUCUGUAGCGGGUCUGAGAGGAUGAUCCGCCACACUGGGACUGAGACACGGCCCAGACUCCUACGGGAGGCAGCAGUGGGGAAUAUUGGACAAUGGGGGGAACCCUGAUCCAGCCAUGCCGCGUGUGUGAAGAAGGCCUUAUGGUUGUAAAGCACUUUAAGCGAGGAGGAGGCUACUGAGACUAAUACUCUUGGAUAGUGGACGUUACUCGCAGAAUAAGCACCGGCUAACUCUGUGCCAGCAGCCGCGGUAAUACAGAGGGUGCGAGCGUUAAUCGGAUUUACUGGGCGUAAAGCGUGCGUAGGCGGCUUUUUAAGUCGGAUGUGAAAUCCCCGAGCUUAACUUGGGAAUUGCAUUCGAUACUGGGAAGCUAGAGUAUGGGAGAGGAUGGUAGAAUUCCAGGUGUAGCGGUGAAAUGCGUAGAGAUCUGGAGGAAUACCGAUGGCGAAGGCAGCCAUCUGGCCUAAUACUGACGCUGAGGUACGAAAGCAUGGGGAGCAAACAGGAUUAGAUACCCUGGUAGUCCAUGCCGUAAACGAUGUCUACUAGCCGUUGGGGCCUUUGAGGCUUUAGUGGCGCAGCUAACGCGAUAAGUAGACCGCCUGGGGAGUACGGUCGCAAGACUAAAACUCAAAUGAAUUGACGGGGGCCCGCACAAGCGGUGGAGCAUGUGGUUUAAUUCGAUGCAACGCGAAGAACCUUACCUGGCCUUGACAUACUAGAAACUUUCCAGAGAUGGAUUGGUGCCUUCGGGAAUCUAGAUACAGGUGCUGCAUGGCUGUCGUCAGCUCGUGUCCUGAGAUGUUGGGUUAAGUCCCGCAACGAGCGCAACCCUUUUUCCUUACUUGCCAGCAUUUCGGAUGGGAACUUUAAGGAUACUGCCAGUGACAAACUGGAAGAAAGGCGGGGAACAACUUCAAGUCAUCAUGGCCCCUUACGGCCAGGGCUACCAACGUGCUACAAUGGUCGGUACAAAGGGUUGCUACCCAGCGAUGUGGAUGCUAAUCUCAAAAAGCCGAUCGUAAUUCGGAAUGGGAGUCCGCAACUCCGAUCCCUUGAAAUCGAAAUCCCUUUUAAAUCCGGGAAUCAAAAUGCCCCGGUGAAAAACUUUUCCCGGGUCUUGGUAACAACUGCCCGGGUCAACCCUGGGGAAAUUUUGUUCCCCCAGAAUAGUAGGGUCCUAAUCCCCCAGGGGGAACUUUCUUACAUUGG